rnacentral:lncRNA from 10 species
UUCCCUUCCACACUGCGGAAGCUUUGUUCUUUCGCUCUUUGCAAUAAAUCUUGCUACUGCUCACUCUUUGGGUCCACGCUGCUUUUAUGAGCUGUAACACUCACCGCGAAGAUCUGCAGCUUCACUCCUGAGCCCAGGGAGACCACGAGCCCACCGGGAGGAACGAACAACCCCAGACGCGCGGCCUUAAGAGCUGUAACACUCACCGCGAAGGUCUGCAGCUUCACUCCUGAGCCAGCGAGACCACGAACCCACCAGAAGGAAGAAACUCCGAACACAUCUGAACAUCAGAAGGGACAGACUCCAGACGCGCCACCUUAAGAGCUGUAACACUCACGGCGAGGGUCCGCGGCUUCAUUCUUGAAGUCAGUGAGACCAAGAACCCACCAAUUCUGGACACACAAUGAGAUAAUAACAUAAGUUUGAAAACUGCAAUUGGGCCUACUAAGGAACCAUGAUAGUGUUUGGUACAUAGAGGACACUGGAAAUGGUUUUCUUAACUGAACAAGUGACUAGAAUAAAGGAAUUAAUGAACGACAUCAGAGCUGAAAUCCCAAACCAUAAAUCAUAAAAGGAUCAGACAGCAAAGAGUACUCAAAAGCUGAUUUAUUGAGAUCCUGAUGAGUUUGAAGUAACUAGAAACUUGAUCAAACAGUGACAAGACCCAAGAUUUGUUUUACUCUAAAGUGAGAAAUUAUCCUCAACAAAAAAACAUUUCACAGUGAGAAUCAGAAGAAUAUUUGCAUCAGGCAACUCUGGGUGCUAGAUAUUUAUUUUUUUUCUUUUUCACAUGAACUAUAAAAACUUACCACAAAAGACUGAUCUCCACAACUGCUUAUACUCUAGGAUUAUUAUACAUUGCACUGUUCUUGCUGAUACUCCAAAGACAUGUAGAAAAUAGAAAGGUAAGUUUGCAGGAGGAAAAAAGAACAAUGGAAUGAAGAAGCAAACAGGGAGUUAAAAUAACUCCUUGGAAUAGUAGAAUCAGGAAAGCAAAGGUAAAGCAUUAAAGUCUAAGGGCUGCAUGACUCCUAAGGGGAAAAUGCAUGUAUUUCUUUUAUUUUGCACUGAGAUUAAAUUUGCUGAUUUUUUUUCAUACUGUGUGUUCUUUCGCUCCCAAUCCUCACAUAAAAUAUUUCAGGGUGACCAACUGCUCUUUUGUGUUACAUUUUAAACAGGUAGAUGACUUUCACAUGUAGGCAAAGUUGAUUCUAGGAAUUAUUGUGAGGUAAGAGAAAUGUGUUUGAGACAAGGUGUGGUCUCUUCUUCUUAAGUUUUCCUCUCUGCAUGUUUUUA